rnacentral:rRNA from 1 species
AUUGAACGCUAGCGGGAUGCUUUACACAUGCAAGUCGAACGAGUGGCGGACGGGUGAGUAAUAUAUCGGAACGUGGCCAGUAGAGGGGGAUAACUACGCGAAAGAGUGGCUAAUACCGCAAAAGCUUGGAGCGGCCGAUAGCGGAUUAGCGAGUUGGUGGGGUAAAGGCUAACCAAGGCAACGAUCCGUAGCUGGUUUGAGAGGACGACAGGCCACACUGGGACUGAGACACGGCCCAGACUCCUACGGUAGGCAGCAGUGGGGAAUUUUCGACAAUGGGGGAAGCCCUGAUGCAGCCAUCCCGCGUGUAUGAGAAGGCCUUCGGGUUGUAAAGUACUUUUGGCAGAGAAGCGGUAUCUGCAGAAUAAGCACCGGCUAACUACGUGCCAGCAGCCGCGGUAAAUC